UCCCUGGUGGUCUAGUGGUUAGGAUUUGGCACUCUCACUGCCAUGGUCUGGGUUCAAUUCCCAGUCAGGGAA
rnacentral:tRNA from 1 species